GGGACACGUGGUAUCCUGUCUGAAUAUGGGGGGACCAUCCUCCAAGGCUAAAUACUCCUGACUGACCGAUAGUGAACCAGUACCGUGAGGGAAAGGCGAAAAGAACCCCGGCGAGGGGAGUGAAAAAGAACCUGAAACCGUGUACGUACAAGCAGUGGGAGCACGCUUAGGCGUGUGACUGCGUACCUUUUGUAUAAUGGGUCAGCGACUUAUAUUCUGUAGCAAGGUUAACCGAAUAGGGGAGCCGAAGGGAAACCGAGUCUUAACUGGGCGUUAAGUUGCAGGGUAUAGACCCGAAACCCGGUGAUCUAGCCAUGGGCAGGUUGAAGGUUGGGUAACACUAACUGGAGGACCGAACCGACUAAUGUUGAAAAAUUAGCGGAUGACUUGUGGCUGGGGGUGAAAGGCCAAUCAAACCGGGAGAUAGCUGGUUCUCCCCGAAAGCUAUUUAGGUAGCGCCUCGUGAAUUCAUCUCCGGGGGUAGAGCACUGUUUCGGCAAGGGGGUCAUCCCGACUUACCAACCCGAUGCAAACUGCGAAUACCGGAGAAUGUUAUCACGGGAGACACACGGCGGGUGCUAACGUCCGUCGUGAAGAGGGAAACAACCCAGACCGCCAGCUAAGGUCCCAAAGUCAUGGUUAAGUGGGAAACGAUGUGGGAAGGCCCAGACAGCCAGGAUGUUGGCUUAGAAGCAGCCAUCAUUUAAAGAAAGCG
rnacentral:rRNA from 1 species